UACGGAGGGUGCAAGCGUUAUCCGGAAUUAUUGGGCGUAAAGCGUCCGCAGGUGGCUGUUCAAGUCUGCUGUGAAAGCGCAGAGCUUAACUCUGUACAGGCGGUGGAAACUGAAGAGCUAGAGUAUGGUAGGGGUAGAGGGAAUUCCCGGUGUAGCGGUGAAAUGCGUAGAUAUCGGGAAGAACACCAGUGGCGAAAGCGCUCUACUGGGCCAUAACUGACACUGAGGGACGAAAGCUAGGGGAGCGAAAGGG
rnacentral:rRNA from 1 species